CCUCGGAGGGCUCCCGGGGCUCCGGAGGCCCGCCGUCGGGCGUUGGGGCGGCUCUGGGAGCGGACCUGCCUCCGACGCUGUCUCGGCUCUGCCGGGGCGUUCGCUCAGGGCGGAGGGCUUGCCUAUUGGUUGCGUUAUUUGAAUGGAAUGGAGGAGAGAGAGGUCACGAAUCCAGCGCUAGUGCCUUCUCUUUCUUAGGCACUCCGAUGAGCUUGCUGAGACCCUUUUAAAAGUGGGGUCUGGGUAGCGAGGGCUUUGGUGGUAGUUGCCCAGAUCUCAGCGCAAGGUGACCGCCGGGCGACAAGGGGUGACCUGCGGUCGUUGCAGUGGCUUUCUGCCAGCCUCACUGUAGAAACGUCUUUCCGCUUACGCUUUCUCGUUGUUGAUGUGUUUGUGGGGGUUGGGGUUUUUUGGUUUUGGUUCUGUUUUCGUCUCAAGCGUAUUUUGGGUCCUCUUUCCCUUCCUUCAGCGCCUUCAUCCUCUCUGGUGCCACUCCUGAACUUAGCUCAGCCUGUUACUGGUCCUGACCUUUUAAGGGAGUCCUGGUUCCUGCUCUAUCGCUUUCUAAGGAUGGCUAAAGACCCAGCUGCUUCUAGAAUUCAAAAGGAAUGUUAAUAUUACGCAAUUGAUUUAACCGCAGGAUUUAGGAUUCCAUCAGCAGAUAGCACCUGUACUGGGUCAGGCAUUGUUCCAGAUGCUGGAGAUACAGCAGUGAACAAUUAAGGUUCUCUUACUUUCCAGAAGACUACAUUACAGCUUAUCAAAUUGAUAAAUAAAAAAUAAUUCAAACAUG